rnacentral:tRNA from 1 species
UCCUCGAUAGCUCAAUGGUAGAGCAUUCGGCUGUUAACCGAAGGGUUGUAGGUUCGAGUCCCACCCGAGGAGCCA